AUCACGCUCGCCCACUAGAAUAUCGUAGUGACUUGCUGUUGGUCUAAUAUGGAAGAAAAAUGUCUACAUUUCUCCUAAAUUGAGAUAUGAGAAAGG
rnacentral:lncRNA from 14 species